AUGUCCAUAUCAUGUUCAAACACUGGUUCUCAUUUGAUCACCAAUGUUAAGCAAUGUCGAGGCUGAUCAGUAUUUAGAUGGGUGACCAUUAAGAAAUACCAGGUGCUGUA